UACGGAGGGUGCAAACGUUGCUCGGAAUCAUUGGGCGUAAAGCGCACGUAGGUGGUCUGUUAUGUCAGAUGUGAAAGCCCUCGGCUUAACUGAGGAAGUGCACCUGAAACUGGCAGGCUUGAGUACGAAAGAGGGUCGCGGAAUUCCCGGUGUAGAGGUGAAAUUCGUAGAUAUCGGGAGGAACACCGGUGGCGAAGGCGGCGACCUGGUUCGAUACUGACACUGAGGUGCGAAAGCGUGGGGAGCAAACAGG
rnacentral:rRNA from 1 species